rnacentral:rRNA from 1 species
CCUACGGGAGGCAGCAGUGAGGAAUAUUGGUCAAUGGGCGCGAGCCUGAACCAGCCAAGUAGCGUGAAGGAUGACUGCCCUACGGGUUGUAAACUUCUUUUAUAAAGGAAUAAAGUGAGGCACGUGUGCCUUUUUGUAUGUACUUUAUGAAUAAGGAUCGGCUAACUCCGUGCCAGCAGCCGCGGUAAUACGGAGGAUCCGAGCGUUAUCCGGAUUUAUUGGGUUUAAAGGGAGCGUAGGCGGCCUUUUAAGUCAGCGGUGAAAGUCUGUGGCUCAACCAUAGAAUUGCCGUUGAAACUGGGGGGCUUGAGUAUGUUUGAGGCAGGCGGAAUGCGUGGUGUAGCGGUGAAAUGCGUAGAUAUCACGCAGAACCCCGAUUGCGAAGGCAGCCUGCCAAGCCAUGACUGACGCUGAUGCACGAAAGCGUGGGGAUCAAACAGGAUUAGAUACCCGAGUAGUC